AAAUCCAAACCCAAAUUAUGACUGUCAAAACCAACCGUCCUAGAGCAAGUGGUAAAGGGUUUGGAGGUUGGUACCCGAGACCCAAGUUCGAAUCCUAAUUGAUUCACAUUUCUAGCUAAGUUUAUUUCUAAAUAAAAUAAACGAAGCGGGUAGCGUGCUAUUUAUCUCUCAAAAAAAAAAAAAAAUUUUGACUGUCAAACUCAAAAUUCGCAAAUCUGAAUCCGACAAAAUUUAAAAAUUUAUAUCCAAAUUCAAAUCCGACUAAAAAU
rnacentral:lncRNA from 1 species